rnacentral:rRNA from 1 species
AACGGCCGUACCAUGCUGAAUAUACCGGUUCUCGUUAGAUCACCGAAGUCAAGCAUCAUUGGGCGCGGUCAGUACAUGGGUGGGUGACCACCUGGGAACACUGCGUGCCGUU